ACAAUCCAAAGAAUCUCACAAAAAGACUAAUAAUCAGGGAGUAGGAAACUAUCACCCAUGGGCCAAACCAGCCAACUGCCUGCUUUCAUAAACCAUGUCACAGUGGGUGUGGCUUGGAUCACAGCCACACCCAUUCAUUUACAUAUUGCCUAUGGCUGGUUUUGAGCUAAGAUGACAGAGUUGAAGAGUUGUGACAGAGACUGUAUGACCUACAAAACAGAAAAUACUUACUUCUUUUUUCUUUUACAAGUUUUCUGAACCCUGGAUUAGAACAUUUUAGUUUUAUGCAAAGCAAAAAUGAAUUCCAUAUUUGGGUGAGGGUUUUCUGGGAAAGCUAUCCAAGGUGGUAGCUGGCUGGCCUAGAGUUUAGCACCACAACUCAUUGUAAUUCUUAAUUCCUACCUCUUUGGGUCCUAAGUUUUGAGCUCCUUUGAUACCAAUUCAGCCCAAGUCUUUUUCUACCUGCUCAGGCAGAAGCCCAUAGAUAUAAUUCCACCUGUCAGCAAUCCCUCAUAACCUAGUAGUCUCCCAACAGGCCUCCCUGCCUUCAGUCAAAACGUCCAAGCUGCAUUCCCCAUAGCUCCCAGUGCUCCUCACUGUAAGCUAACUACAGGGCACAUGCCGAGCCAGGCCUCCCUUCCCAUGUAAAUUGUUCCAGUGGCCUCCACUGCCUAGGGUAAGGCUGCUUCACCCCAGCUGCACAUCAGAGUCUUGGGAUGGUUUUUAUAAGUAUAGAUGUCCUGGUAUCACCUCAAAAGUACUAAAUCUGAAAAGUACAUACUCUUUUGAAGCCCUUAAGAGAGGGCUUCCCUGCCUGUCCUAUCUGAAGGAGAAUGCUCCCAUUGGUCUCUGUCCUAUUCAAUCCUAUUACCUUGUUUUAUUUUUUUAGUAGCAUUUAUCAGGGUCUGACAGAUUAGAGCUGCUUGCUUCUUUACUGUCUGUCUUUUCAUCAAAUAAUAUGAGCUUCCUGAGUGUAGACUGUGUCCCAAGUACCAAGAACAGUGUCUGACCUACAAUAAGGAUCCAAAGAUAUCUGUGAAAUUUUUUGGGGUAGUCUUCCUUCAUCUGUCCUUGGCUAACCUGUCCCCACAUCCAGGUUCCUCUAAACCACCCACUUAGAGUGGUCCCGGUGCACAACGCUGCCUCAGUACUGUCAUGCGCUGAGUUGCCUGGAGUGUUCCUUCCCCUCCACAUUUGCCUGCUGAGUACAUGACUGCUCUUCCACAAGCCACUGCAAAGUUGCCUCUCUGUUCCCUGACUCUGGUAUCACAGUAGGGGAGAAUCAGCAUUUAAACCCAGGUCUGGCUGGCAUCAAAGCCUGUGUUCUCACCUUCAUGCUCUAUUACGAUAAUUCCUGGUCAUCUGGGAGUCCCAGGCUUCAUAAGGAUAUGAUGAAAGCCUCAGAAGGAUUUACCAAGUGAGGAAUAAAAAUGUCUCCUUUCUAAGGGUUGGCACUCCAUCCACUGUCUGGCCCCACCUCUCUCUUGAACUGGGUGGUAGCUUCUCCUUCAUGCUGCUCUGGACUACACAGGAGACUGAUAACCACCUCUGGCCCUCUCCAAGCUGCCUUUGGCUCAGUGGCCUGUGGGCCUUUGGAGGGCCACAGCUGAAUCUUGGUCAUCCAUGUGUUCCCUGAACAAAGGACACAGAUGCUACAGGGUUAGUAAUGCUUUGCUAAAUAAAGAUC